rnacentral:lncRNA from 1 species
CUUAUUUCAUUCUUCAUGGUCGGCUAAGACAAGAACAAAGAGAAAAAAGAAGAGAACAAACCCUAGUGAGCAAAAAUUCAAGGGAAAAUUGGUGGAUUUCAAGGAAUUAAGCAAGUAAAGGUAAAAUUUCUUGAUUUUAGCUUGUGAUCUACCUUUUCUAUGCAUUCUUUUUCAUUUUCGAUGGUUGAGAAUCAAGUUUGCAUGAAGAUACCUUUGCUGGCCGGACAUGGGGGGAGGGAUUUUGAUCUUGGAUUUAGCUAGAUUUCAUGUUAUUCUAGUGUUUUUAGUUGUUUGGUAAUGUUUAGCAUGGAAAACAAGCAAGAAAUUUCAUGCCCUUCACCCACACCCAUUGGCUAAAUUUUUCAAGAGAGAAAUUGGAAAAUGGACUUUGAUGAAUUUCAUGCUAUUUAGGUAUUUUUAGUUGUUUUAUGAUGUAAAGUGCAAAAAUCAAGCAUGAAAAACCACAUAUAAUUCAUGAACCCUCCAUGGCCGAAUUUUUCCAAGAGAAAAUGUUGAGGAUGAUUUUGCUAUAAUUCAUUUAUCUAGCUUAUAUUUGAUGAUUUGGAGUAUUGGAAGUGAAAUGAAUUUAUUUGGAGUUGAAUUGGAUAUUUUGGCUAAUUAACCGGCGUAUAGUGUGAAUUAGGUCAAUACCAUUUCAGCCCCAAACACAAUUGAACCGACGUAGAACACCGUAUUUAGAUAAUAAUCCGAACAUUUAACAUCCCAUUUCAUGGAUUCAUCUAGAGCCUAAAUUAGUUUUAUAACGGUUUAGCACAAAUAUCUUGUUGUGCAUUAUGUCUAGGUGGUGAAACUUUCGAUAAGGGUAAGGAGAUUGUACCAGAAGACCGGGAUUAGGAGUACCUCGAUUCUCGAUAUUGUGAGUAACCUUAUUAUCG